UCGCACAAAAGGUCGCCGAGGAGGUUGGUUGCUCAAAGGUGGCUCAAAUGAGGCAGAAGGGAGGCACAAGCAUUGCCGUGGUUGCAGAAUACAUGCACAAUGGACGGCAAAUGGUCGCCACGUAAUAGAUCCGUUCUGUUGCAAAUUUUACCGUCAAUCUGGGCGAUGCUUCUGCCUCCCUUAAGCCUCAAGGGUCGCCUAGGAGGCAGGAGCAUGG